GCAACAGGAACAGAAAUGCUCCAGACAGACCACAAGCCAGUGCUACAAGUGGAUCUAAUGUCACAGACACAGAAUAAACUCAGCUGACGGUCACCCUCACCUCUCACUCAGUGUUUCAUACAACAGAGAACAUGGCUUUGCAUUAACUAAACCUGCUGUGUGACACCAUUGGACAGUCUCUUUCUCUCAUGCCUUUUAAAUAGACGUGUCAAGUGUCUUGUGUCAACACACGUUAGUGGAGACCUGCAUGCAAGAGGUGGAGCACAUUGUGUUUCUGCUGCUCAAGAAGCACAGUAUUUCUAGAAAAACAACCUGUUUUCUCCUUUACUGUAAGGGAGUUACUGCAGCCACCUUAAGGAAUCCAGUGCAGGUGAACCAGAACUUUGUAACAGAGGCCGUCUCAUUGACACUCUUUCUGAUGCCCCAUUGAGAGUAAGCUGUGGCUUCUGACAGCCUGGUCACCCUACAGGAGAGUACUACAGUCUCCCUGAGGCUUCCCAG